rnacentral:rRNA from 1 species
AGUGAACGCUGGCGGCAGGCCUAAUGCAUGCAAGUCGAACGGCAGCACAGCUUAAGCUUGCUUAAGUGGGUGGCGAGUGGCGGACGGGUGAGGAAUACGUGGGAAUCUGCCCAGUCGUGGGGGAUAACGUAGGGAAACUUACGCUAAUACCGCAUGCGCCCUUCGGGGGAAAGCCGGGGAUCUUCGGACCUGGCGCGAUUGGAUGAGCCCACGUCGGAUUAGCUAGUUGGAGGGGUAAAGGCCCACCAAGGCGACGAUCCGUAGCUGGUCUGAGAGGAUGAUCAGCCACACUGGAACUGAGACACGGUCCAGACUCCUACGGGAGGCAGCAGUAGGGAAUAUUGGACAAUGGGCGCAAGCCUGAUCCAGCCAUGCCGCGUGAGUGAAGAAGGCCCUCGGGUUGUAAAGCUCUUUUGUUGGGGAAGAAAAGCCUUGGGUUAAUACCCUGAGGUUCUGACGGUACCCAAAGAAUAAGCACCGGCUAACUUCGUGCCAGCCGCCGCGGUAA